rfam:Ipomoea nil DNA, scaffold: scaffold3056, cultivar: Tokyo-kokei standard.
GCCCGUCUAGCUCAGUCGGUAGAGCGCAAUACUCUUAACCUUGUGCUCUUGGCUUAAGCCCUAGGGUGGGCA